AACGCACAUUGCGCCCCUUGGUAUUCCGGGGGGCAUGCCUGUUCGAGCGUCAUUACACCAAUCAAGCAUAGCUUGGCAUUAGACCUUUCGUCCACGGUCAAACGUGGGCGGGUCUCAAAACCUUCGGCGGAGUCGAACCGACUUUGGGCGUAGCAGAAUCUGUCAAAACGUCUAUGGAGUCGGGGCGAUUGUGGCCGUCAAUUCGUCACCUUCGCGGUGACGGCUUCUCAAGGUUGACCUCGGAUCAGGUAGGAAUACCCGCUGAACUUAA
rnacentral:misc_RNA from 1 species